GAUGAAGAGCGUAGCGAAAUGCGAUAAGUAGUGUGAAUUGCAGAAUUCAGUGAAUCAUCGAAUCUUUGAACGCACAUUGCGCCUCCUGGUAUUCCGGGAGGCAUGCCUGUUCGAGCGUCAUUAAAAUCACUCAAGCUUAGGUUUACCUAUUGCUUGGUCUUGGAGAUGGAAGCCAAUUUAUUGGAAUCCUCUUCGAAAUUCAAUGGCGAAGACCCUUGCUCUCCCAAGUGUAGUAAUAACUUAUGUCACUGAAGGAAGCGAGAAAUCUUCUGCCGUAACCCCCAUAUUUUCUAUGAUUGACCUCGGAUCAGGUAGGGAUACCCGCUGAACUUAAGCAUAUCAAUAAGCGGAGGA
rnacentral:misc_RNA from 1 species